CAUGUACCAGUGGGGUCCCUCGGCCUGGCCUGUGCUCUCUCACAAUCUGGGACCCCUCAGGGGAUGCUGGAGAGCCAGUUUUGACCUAAUCCCACAGGCCAGGCCGAGGGACCCCUCUGGUGCACG
rnacentral:pre_miRNA from 1 species